rnacentral:SRP_RNA from 1 species
GCCGGGUGCGGUGGCAUGUGCCUGUAGUCCCAGCUACUCAGGAGGCUGAGGCUGGAAGAUCGCUUAAGUCCAGGAGUUCUGGGCUGUAGUGUGUUAUGCUGAUAAGGUGUCUGUGUGCUAAGUUUGGCAUCAAUAUGGUGACCUCCUGGGAGCGGGGAACGACCAGGUAGCCUGAGGUGUGGUGAACCAGCCCAGGUCGGAAACAGAGCAGGUCAAAACUCCUGUGCUGAUCAGUAGUGGGAUGGCGCCUGUGAAUAGCCACUGCACUCCAACCUGGGCAACAUAGCAAGACCCCCUUCU